GCCCAGGUGGCGGAAUGGUAUACGCGCAUGCUUGAGGUGCAUGUUCCCUUUGGGAUUGGAGGUUCGAGUCCUCUCCUGGGCACUA
rnacentral:tRNA from 1 species